rnacentral:rRNA from 1 species
UCCUACGGGACGCAGCAGUGGGGAAUAUUGCACAAUGGGGGAAACCCUGAUGCAGCGACGCCGCGUGAGCGAUGAAGUAUUUCGGUAUGUAAGGCUCUAUCAGCAGGGAAGAAAAUGACGGUACCUGACUAAGAAGCCCCGGCUAACUACGUGCCAGCAGCCGCGGUAAUACGUAGGGGGCAAGCGUUAUCCGGAUUUACUGGGUGUAAAGGGAGCGUAGACGGCAUGGCAAGCCAGAUGUGAAAUACCGGGGCUCAACCCCGGGACUGCAUUUGGAACUGGUAAGCUGGAGUGUCGGAGAGGCA